AUUGAACGCUGGCGGCAGGCCUAACACAUGCAAGUCGAACGAGUGGCGGACGGGUGAGUAAUGUCUGGGAAACUGCCUGAUGGAGGGGGAUAACUACUGGAAACGGUAGCUAAUACCGCAUACCAUCAGAUGUGCCCAGAUGGGAUUAGCUUGUUGGAGGGGUAACGUCUCACAAAGGCGACGAUCCCUAGCUGGUCUGAGAGGAUGACCGGCCACACGGGGACUGAGACACGGUCCAGACUCCUACGGGAGGCAGCAGUGGGGAAUAUUGCACAAUGGGCGAAAGCCUGAUUCAGCCAUGCCGCGUGUAUGAAGAAGGUCUUCGGGUUGUAAAGUACUUUCAGCGGGGAGGCGUUACCCACAGAAGAAGCACCGGCUAACUCCGUGCCAGCAGCCGCGGUAAUUC
rnacentral:rRNA from 1 species